GGCGUCGAAGAAGUGUGGCGGCAUCUUGUGGCGCGCACGCGGAGGUGCCGGUCCGCGCGUGGCCCGGCCCUUCUUGCGUCACACAACGUCACCCGGAAGUUAAUUGAAAGUGAGGCGAAAACAUGGCACAGUACACAGACCCACGGCUUUCUUCGACGGACGGCGGAGCUGCUGAAGUGAUGCCUGAGCUUUCUGAAGAUGAUGAUGACGUGGUCGAUGAUGAGGAGCAGUGGCAGUGGAUGGAGGAGGACAGUCAGACAGUUACCUGUCUUUUCUGUGACAGCUCGAUGAGCUCUGUAGCUGCUGUCCUGCAGCACUGCACAGCUGAGCACCAGGUCAACCUUGUAGAUGUGAUCAGAAAACAUCAUUUAGACGACUAUGGUUACAUAAAGAUGAUCAACUUCAUACGUUCAUCGAAAUGUGAUCCGUCCUGUCUAACGGUGCUGCCAGAUGCUCCGUUGCCCUGGGAAAGUGAAGAGUUUCUGCGGCCAGUAAUACAGGAUGACCCCCUGCUGCAAGCAGAUCCCGAGGAACUUUGUGGCAGCGAGGGGUCUGAGUCCCAUGAUGCAUUGCUGCAGAGGGCACAUCCUACUGAGGAGAGAGUCCGUCGGGCAGAGGAGGCUCUGGCCAGAGCUACAGAAGACCUGCAUAAACUACAGAUUUUGACUCAGAGUUUGAUACUGAAUUCAGAAACCUGUACGCCUGGCAACCUGGGCCCGGUGGCGGAGCUGAGAGAGGAUGAGGACGAGGCCUACUUCAGUUCCUACGGCCAUUUUGGCAUCCAUGAGGAGAUGCUGAAGGACAAAGUGCGCACAGAGAGUUACCGUGACUUCAUGUACAACAACCCCGACGUGUUCAGAGACAAGGUGGUGCUGGAUGUGGGAUGUGGCACUGGCAUCCUGUCCAUGUUUGCGGCCAGAGCUGGGGCCAAGAGCGUUAUAGCAGUUGACCAGUCAGAAAUAAUCUACCAGGCCAUGGACAUCGCCAGGAGCAACCAGCUGGAGGACAAGAUUGUUUUCAUCAAAGGCCGCAUAGAAGACAUCAAACUCCCGGUGGAGAAGGUGGACAUCAUCAUCUCAGAAUGGAUGGGUUACUUCCUGCUGUUUGAGUCCAUGCUGGACUCGGUCCUGUAUGCCAGAGACCUCUACCUGGCUGAGGGUGGCUCAGUCUAUCCGGACCUUUGCAGCAUCAGCUUGGCAGCAGUGGGAGACGCACAGAAGCACCAGGACCGCAUAGCGUUCUGGGACGACGUGUAUGGCUUCAACAUGGCCUGCAUGAAGAAGGCUGUGGUGCCGGAGGCUGUAGUAGAGACUAUACAGGCAGACACCCUCAUCUCUGAACCCACCGUCAUACAGACGAUUGACUGUAACAGUGUGUGUCUUUCUGAACUGGAGUUUACAUCAGAUGUCUGCCUGAAGAUAAAGGACACUAGAGAGUGCACAGCUAUUGUCGGCUACUUUGACAUUUUCUUUGACAAAGGCUGCAGCAACAAGGUGUUCGCUGGCAAUCGACGAAUGUCCUAGCUGAAUGCUGAUAUAAGCACUUACCCUGCAGAGGCGGCCGCCCGAAACAGCUGAUGCUAAGUUCCGUGAGCAACAAAGACGUGCUUUUUGAUUGCAUUUCUUGCAUAUCAAAGAAAGCCCAGUAAAUAAGCGGCGCUCAAAUCUCCACCUGGAGAUAACGUUAUCUCCAGGUGGAGAUUUGAGCGCUGCUUAUUGCAGCGUUGCAACUGUAUGGUUGUUUUAGAGACACAGCAUUAUUUUAUUUUCCACUGGACCUGACAUUAAUAAAAACAAACCUAUGACAUUUAAGGCGCUUUCUUCUGUUCUUUGCACCAGGUGAUGUUCUCCACAGGACCUCAAGUGACAAAGACACACUGGAAACAGACGAUCUUCCUGCUGGAGAGGCCUGUUUCUGUCACAGCAGGAGAAGAGCUCCACGGAAAGAUCACCGUGCGUAAAAACAGGAAGGACCCGCGCUCGCUGUUG